AGCGAACGUUAGCGGCGGGCUUAACACAUGCAAGUCGAGCGAGAAAGUGGCUUCGGCCAUCAGUAAAGCGGCGGACGGGUGAGUAACACGUAGGUAAUCUUCCCUUGAGCGGGGGACAACGUUUCGAAAGGAACGCUAAUACCGCAUAAGUUCCCGAGGGUCUUGGCCCUUGGGAGGAAAGCUAGGCAGCAAUGUCCGGCACUCAAGGAGGAGCCUGCGUCGCAUCAGCUAGUUGGUGAGGUAAUGGCUCACCAAGGCGAAGACGCGUAGCUGGUCGGAGAGGAUGAUGAGCGACACUGGGACGGGGACACGGCCCAGACUCCUACGGGAGGCAGCAGUGGGGAAUAUUGGACAAUGGGCGCAAGCCUGAUCCAGCCACGCCGCGUGAGUGAUGAAGGCCUUCGGGUCGUAAGGCUCUGUGGGGAGGGGAGAACCGCCGGGCGUGCGUAGCGUCCGGCAUGACGGUACCUCCUUAGCAAGCACCGGCUAACUUCGUGCCAGCAGCCGCCGUAAUAC
rnacentral:rRNA from 1 species